ensembl:snRNA Gm25097 predicted gene, 25097
AAAAAGGGGGGGGGGCUUCUGUCGUGAGUGGCACACACACACAGGGCAACUCGAUUGCUCUGCAUUUGGAAUCGACAUCAAGAGAUUUCAGAAGCAUAAUUUUUUGGUAUUUGGGCAGCUGGUAAUCAUUGGUCCCAGCGCCUGU